GAUGACUACUUUUCCAAGAUACAUGUGACAAAGAGGAGGAGCUCAAGGAGCUGAAUGUGAAAGGAUAAAGUAGUCAGGAAGGAGAAAUCAUAUGUUGGCUUAACUAAUGCUUCCUAAUCAGAACAUGAACCUUAUGAUGACCCAUAGUUGGAUGUAUGUGAGAGGAUGAACAUUCAGAAAUCCUUGAUGACUGGGAUUCUAGGAAGACGAUCACAUACUCGACCAGCCCACCUGUCACCGCGAGACAAGCUAAAAGUGAAGCAACUACAGUCAAUUUAGAGAAAGGGGAAAAGAAAAUGUAUGACACAAGGACCCUAAACCCUAAACAUUUGCAUUCCU